rnacentral:lncRNA from 1 species
AACGAUGCAGUGUUUAAGACUGAAACCGCCGCUAUCGUUUCCAGUCACAUUCUCACCUUCCAAACACCUCCGACGAAAUCACCUACCGGCGUGGUCCUCAACCCGAUCUCCGAUCAAGAGCAUGUCAACCACCGUGGAGCACAUCGUCCUCUUCAAGGUCAAAGACGACACCGACCCCUCCAAGGUCACCGCCAUGGUCAACGGCCUCAGCUCCCUCAUCUCCCUAGACCACGUCCUCCACCUCACGGUGGGCCCAAUCCUCC